rnacentral:lncRNA from 1 species
AUGGAGUUCAUAGGGUUCUAUUGCAUAAAAUACCUCCAAGUACUGCCUGAAGUAUUCUCAGCAGUGAUCAAAAACCUUACAUAUUCCUCAGAUUUUUUCCCUUCUUCAACUAUUCUGAACAACACACUAUUUAAAAUAUAUAUACACGAUACUGAGGUUUCACAUUUUGUUAGAUAUUUGGAACUGCUGCUUAAACAUAACCAAUACCGAUCAGUACUUCCAGGUCAUUGUUUCAAAAGUAGGUCCUUCAUUUUACAUGAUCUGAAAUCUUCCGAAAGAAAGCAUGAGAUCCCCUUGUGAUAUGUUAUUUCACAGUUUAAAAACAAAAUCACAGCUACUGUAGCUUACAGCAGGGUGCACUGCAAAAGCAAAAUAAUUUGGGAUGGGAUGAGGGGUGGUGUACCCAGCACCAGUAAGAAGAUCAGUGAAAAAAUUUGAUGUGGGCUGGAGGUUUUUCCCCUUAGCAAUGCUUGGGUCCUGAACAGCCUAAGUUAGGAUGCUUAAUGUAUUUACUUUUGUUCUCCCUCUGUAUUUUCAUUUUUAUCAACUGAAUUCUGAGAUACAAAUUUCAACAGCCAAAUGCAGUACUUAAGGGGGAAGUAGGCAUUAGGCUUUCUCACAAUGAAAAUACCAUGCUAGAGAUUCUGACCUGCUUUUAUUUUGUGGUGCCAUCCGAGUUAACAGCCUGUACUGAUGGCUAACCUGUUCAAAUGGACUGCUUUUCACAGAUGACUACACCAGGGACUCUUCAUCACCUCUGCGAGCCCUCUUCUUGAUUGGUAAUUAUUUCUAUCCACAUUAUGUGUGCAGAAGUCUUUCAAAAGCCCCAUCUUGAAAAAUCUCUUCAACAUAGAAAGGUGGAUAAGUUCUUUAAUUCAUUUCUAUGGAUGAAAGGUUUCUUUCAAAACCCCAUCUGCCUUUGAGUUAAGAAAAUGGUAAAACUUCUAAUGUAUUAAAAAUGUAAACAUAACUUUUCUUGCAGGGGUAUAACUGACAGAUAGAUAUAGAUAUAUGUAUUUCUCUGCUAUAUGUUAAUAUCCCUCAAAAACUGAACAUACUUUUCUCAUUCGUAUCAACAUGUCCCAGCAAGUUUUGUUUGAGUGGUUACAAUGGGAUUACUCUCAAGCAGUUUUUCCUUCUGGUGCUUUCUGAGAUAGCUGGCGUUAGUAUUUUCUAUUGCAUUUUACCUAAUUCAUUUUACAGAAAGAUUUGCUACCUUUUAGAAUAUGCUCAACUCAUUCACCAGUAAUAUUCUGACUGAAGUCUAUCUAUCAUCACCUGAACUCCAAAUUUGCAGGAG